GUUUAAGUCAGCUGUGAAAUGGUGCGGCUCAACCGUAGCACUGCAGUUGAAACUGGACGGCUUGAGUGCAGUUGAGGCAGGCGGAAUUNGUGGUGUAGCGGUGAAAUGCUUAGAUAUCACGAAGAACCCCGAUUGCGAAGGCAGCCUGCUAAGCUGCAACUGACGUUGAGGCUCGAAAGUGUGGGUAUCAAACAGGAUUAGAUACCCUGGUAGUCCACACGGUAAACGAUGGAUACUCGCUGUUGGCGAUAUACUGUCAGCGGCCAAGUGAAAACGUUAAGUAUCCCACCUGGGGAGUACGCCGGCAACGGUGAAACUCAAAGGAAUUGACGGGGGCCCGCACAAGCGGAGGAACAUGUGGUUUAAUUCGAUGAUACGCGAGGAACCUUACCCGGGCUUGAAUUGCAGACGAGUCAUCCGGAGACGGAUGAGCCGCAAGGCGUCUGUGAAGGUGCUGCAUGGUUGUCGUCAGCUCGUGCCGUGAGGUGUCGGCUUAAGCGCCAUAACGAGCGCAACCCUUUCCGCCGGUUACUAACAGGUUAUGCUGAGGACUCCGACGGUACUGCCAUCGUAAGAUGUGAGGAAGGUGGGGAUGACGUCAAAUCAGCACGGCCCUUACGUCCGGGGCUACACACGUGUUACAAUGGGGGGUACAGAAGGCAGCGACCGGGCGACCGGAAGCGAAUCCCGAAAGCCCCUCUCAGUUCGGACUGGAGUCUGCAACCCGACUCCACGAAGCUGGAUUCGCUAGUAAUCGCGCAUCAGCCACGGCGCGGUGAAUACGUUCCCGGGCCUUGUACACACCGCCCGUCAAGCCAUGAAAGCCGGGGGUACCUGAAGUGCGUAACCGCGAGGAGCGCCCUAGGGUAAAACCGGUAAUUGGGGCUAAGUCGUAACAAGGUAACCA
rnacentral:rRNA from 1 species